rnacentral:lncRNA from 1 species
GUAGGUGGAUGAACGGAUGGAUGAGAUAUAAAGAGCCAAAAAAUUGGAGCAUCAGUGCAAGUCUGAUAGUGAUAGUCACUAACCUAUGUUUACAAAUCAAUGGAUGCAUAGUGCUAAAUAUAAUAAAACAAGUGAUGGAAGAAAAGUUCUUUAUAGUAUUAGACUCUAUUAAGUAUCUUCCCUCAGAUUAGUUAAUAACUUCAAAGGGAAAAACAGUAAAUUCAAAAGGAAAAAUAAGGACUUUUUAACCAGGAUAUGAAACCUGCCAUCCCUAGUAUUGAAGCCAGCCAGCACCACCAGGAUCCUAUUCAGUAUUAAGUAGUCUAUAACAUUGCUGCUUAAACUGUAUAACAUGAAGCAAGCAUGAAGAAACAGCCAACAGUUCUAAUCAAUACACAGUUUAUAACUGCUAACUUUUUUUAUGUUAGGGUCAGAAAAAAAUAGCCUUUAUAGAUUGAAAUUAAAUAGACAUGAUUACUAUGAUUACUAAAUAUGACUAAAUAAUGCAGCUUCUUAGACUCGACCUCUGCUGUGUAGAGAAAUGACUGCAGAGGACAUUGUUGGCUCAGCUGACAAGGUGCUGUGACUAUAAACCACACAACAGGUGUUGUGUAUGAAUAUUCCUGAUCUUAAUGUCUGCUGUAUAUGAGAUUAUCUUCUGUCUGAAGGAACAAAAGAUAGAAAGACGGUAUCUUAAACAGUUGGAAGAUGAUUGCAAGAUAUGUGGAGUAUCUUGACUAGAUAUAAUAUAUAAUAUAUUAUAUACUGUUAUAUAGUAUAUACUGUUAUUAAAACUUUCCUAUAAGUUUAGUAAAACUAUAGUAUUAAAUAGUUAACUUUGCUUUGAAAUACUUUGUUUGAAAAUCUAACUUGAAUGUACAUUCCAGUGUUAUAAUAAUAGAGUAGUUAAAUCCAAAUAUGUAGAUUGAAUUUUAAUUAUUUUUUGUAGUAAAAUUUUGCUUUCCUCUUCAAAAUCUUGUUUUGUGAGAUUAUGGUAGCUUUAUGCAACUAUAAAACUCUUGUCUAAAGCUGUCAAGAAAUAUAUGUAAUAAGUAAUUAUAAGUACUCUAGCAUAUAGAUGUUAUUAUAACAGUUUUUAUUGCUUCCUUCUCAAGUAUUUCUUACUAUAUUUUAUUGCUCCUGCCAUUAUAUAGAACACCUCUUGUUUGUAUGAUACAUCAUGAGGACCAAAGAUAAAAAUGCUGCAGGCACUAAGAGAUUAUUAGUCUUUUUUUUUUUUUUUUUUUUUUUUUUAGUUUUUGAGACUUCUAUUCAUAACUUGGGGAUUUCAUAAAUAUUCUCAAUACUAUCUACUGAAACCCGUCAGAGUAUGUAUUCAAGUUUAAUAAAUUUAUAUUUAUUAUAUUAACAAAAAAGUGUACUGCCAGAUUUCAACGAUUUUUAAAUGUGGUUUCUCAAUACCCAGCUUGAGGAUUGUUACAGUGGUUGAUAAAAGGAAUGAAUUCCAAGUGGAUCCAGUGAUUCUUUCACACAUCACUUGGUACCUUUUCUGGACAGUAGCAGUGCAGCCCGGACUGGGAAUCACUUUCCUGAAAGAGACAGACAGUAAACGUGAUGUCAAAUGAUAGCUGUAAUUGAGAAACUGAAGGUAGAAAUAAGAAUUGGCAAAUAAAUUGAUUCAAGGAAGACCUUGCUGAGAAUCAGGCUGUAUUUUAGCAAGCCUUGAAGCUGUAAGAGAAAAUCACAGGGUCCAGGAGGAGGCAGAUGAUGUGGGACCCAUGCUUUCUUACCAAGUGCUGUAAUGAUUCUGAAGCUACCAUUAGCUACUCAUCCCUGGUCUGGAGGUAGCAAGGGCGAUUCUGUGACUGAAUUGAAG